AGUGAACGCUGGCGGUAGGCCUAACACAUGCAAGUCGAACGGCAGCACAGUAAGAGCUUGCUCUUACGGGUGGCGAGUGGCGGACGGGUGAGGAAUACAUCGGAAUCUACUUUUUCGUGGGGGAUAACGUAGGGAAACUUACGCUAAUACCGCAUACGACCUACGGGUGAAAGCAGGGGAUCUUCGGACCUUGCGCGAUUGAAUGAGCCGAUGUCGGAUUAGCUAGUUGGCGGGGUAAAGGCCCACCAAGGCGACGAUCCGUAGCUGGUCUGAGAGGAUGAACAGCCACACUUGAACUGAGACACGGUCCAGACUCCUACGGGAGGCAGCAGUGGGGAAUAUUGGACAAUGGGCGCAAGCCUGAUCCAGCCAUACCGCGUGGGUGAAGAAGGCCUUCGGGUUGUAAAGCCCUUUUGUUGGGAAAGAAAAGCAGCAGGUUAAUACCCCGCUGUUCUGACGGUACCCAAAGAAUAAGCACCGGCUAACUUCGUG
rnacentral:rRNA from 1 species